AACAAUUGGGCCAGGCCCAUUCUUGUAAUGCUUGAUAUUUUCUAAACCCUAAAUCAUCAAAGAACAUCUUCUCUCACCUCACUCAUCUUCUCAGAUUGUCAAACCACACUCAUUCACGAUUCACGCUGCUGCCUGCUACUUCGUUAGUCACUUCGGCAAAUCGACAGUCGGCACCUGAACGGAAAUUUCUCUUUUUUUCAUAUUUCUACUUCAAUUCUAAUCUUUUUCGAUCUACUUUUUGCAAAGUGAGGUGAAGACUGUCGCUAGGAUAGUGGAAGGCGAUGCAGGGAAGGUCAUCUGAAAGGAAGCAGAGAGGUUGAAGCCUGCUGCUGUGAUCAUGGGUUCCAGAGGUAGAGGAUUGGUUCAAAGUGUGUUGCAAGGGAGUGUUGGUGAAUAUUGCAUCCAUCACUGUAAAACCGCGCCAAUCAUAAUUGUUCUUGGGAAAGAUGUGGGCGAGCAAUCAGCGAUUUGAUCGAGGGAAGAAUUGUAAAUUCUGAUUGUUUUUCAGUUUGUAGUUUACUGUAUGCUUCUGUAGUUACUGGAGUGUGAUUGUAUCUGGUAUGUGUUACAUUUAUGAUUUCAUUGAGAUUGCUUUUCAGUUUGUUGUUACGAACUUUAAACAACCUGGAUACAAAACUGAACCCAUUUACAUAUUUUGUAA